rnacentral:rRNA from 1 species
GACGGAGGAUGCAAGCGUUAUCCGGAAUGAUUGGGCGUAAAGCGUCCGCAGGUGGCAGUUCAAGUCUGCUGUCAAAGACCGGGGCUUAACUUCGGAAAGGCAGUGGAAACUGAACAGCUAGAGUAUGGUAGGGGCAGAGGGAAUUCCUGGUGUAGCGGUGAAAUGCGUAGAGAUCAGGAAGAACACCGGUGGCGAAAGCGUUCUGCUAGACCUGUACUGACACUGAGGGACGAAAGCUAGGGGAGCGAAUGGG